rnacentral:rRNA from 1 species
UGGGGAAUAUUGGACAAUGGGCGCAAGCCUGAUCCAGCCAUGCCGCGUGAGUGAUGAAGGCCUUAGGGUUGUAAAGCUCUUUCACUGGGGAAGAUAAUGACGGUACCCAGAGAAGAAGCCCCGGCUAACUUCGUGCCAGCAGCCGCGGUAAUACGACGGGGGCUAGCGUUGUUCGGAAUCACUGGGCGUAAAGCGCACGUAGGCGGACUUUUAAGUCAGGGGUGAAAUCCCAAGGCUCAACCUUGGAACUGCCUUUGAUACUGGAAGUCUUGAGUUCGGGAGAGGGGAGUGCAACUGCGAGUGUAGAGGUGAAAUUCGUAGAUAUUCGCAAGAACACCAGUGGCGAAGGCGGCUCACUGGCCCGAUACUGACGCUUAGGUGCGAAAGCGUGGGGGGCAAACAGG